rnacentral:rRNA from 1 species
AUGAACGUUGGCGGCGUGGAUUAGGCAUGCAAGUCGAGCGUUCCCCGCAAGGGGGAAGCGGCAAACGGGGUAGUAAGGCGUCGGUACGUGCCUCCUGGACGGGGACAGCCACGGGAAACUGUGGGUAAUACCCGAUGAUGUCGGCCUCUGUAAUGGAGGCCGUCCAAAGGUGUGAUUCCGCCGGGAGAGCGGCUGACGUGGUAUUAGGUCGUUGGUAAGGUAAUGGCUUACCAAGCCUGGGAUGCCUAGGGGGUGUGAGAGCAUGGCCCCCACCAUUGGGACUGAGACACUGCCCAGACACCUACGGGUGGCUGCAGUCGAGAAUCUUCGGCAAUGGGCGCAAGCCUGACCGAGCGACGCCGCGUGCGGGAUGAAGGCCUUCGGGUUGUAAACCGCUGUCAGGGGGGAUGAAAUGCAUCGGGGUUCUCCCCGGUGUUUGACAUAGCCCCAGAGGAAGCGCGGGCUAAGUUCGU